rnacentral:lncRNA from 1 species
AAGUUAUUGUUUUGGAUAUAUUGUAAAACAGAUCGAACUAACAAUAAAAAAAAUUAACAGCAUAUAGUACUUAAAUACUAACUAGAUUUGCAAUACUAAUAAACAAAAUCUAAAAUUAACAAUUUACUAUUUUUGCCUCUAGUACAUUUUAAAAUAGAUUGAACAUGUGGUAAUGAAUUAAGAACUAAAUGUAGGUAAAUUCUAACGAGUGUUACGAGUCUUGCACAACGAAACUAUCUAAUUAUCCAAUCUAAUUUCUUUGCUCCACUAGCAUUGAUUGAUAUCCAUUGAUUCGUCAAAAGAAGUUGUCUUUGCUCUUGACAUGCUACAAAAUAAGGUGAAUAAGAUAUCAUGUGUUAACAAUUACAUACAGGGCAUAGUUAAUCAAAUCCCAAUUUGUACGCCUAUAUGAACUCUAUGUAACCAACGAACAACUAUAUAGUAAAUUCAUUCUUACAUUAUGUGUAUGCACAUGACAAUGUGUAAGGCUAACAACCUAUUACAGAUUCAAACAAUAGACUGACUUUUGUAAAUUUAUGACCAUGUAAGCAUACAAAACAUAGAACACUACUUCAUACCCACAAACAACUUGUACACUCCACAGAAAAAUACUAAUAUCAACUAUACCAAAGUUUCUAGAAUACAUUCCAAAUCAUGUAGUUACUUUUUGCAGCGCUAUAUCUAAUCUCCUUUUACAAAAAUAUAUAAUCAAGUAAUUAACACCUAACAUGAUGUACAUUUUUAUAAACUGAUUGUACCUUAUAGAUCAUCCUGUGUAAAGUGCUCACGAACAAACUAAUACUCUUCAUACAAGUAAAAUUACACAUCCAUUAUAGAGAGAUGCACAAGUUGAUUAAAGGGCCAAUAACCAUUCCAAAGUUAUACGCACCAUUGCACUGCCUUUUAUAGAUAUACACAGUCAAGUAACUAACAUCUAAUAUAUUGUACAUUUUUGUAAACUGAUUGUAUCUCAUGAAUCACCCCAUGUAAAGUGCUUAUAGGCAAAUUAGUAUUAGCUAUACAAAUAAAAUUACACACCUACGGCAGCCUGCAAGGAGAUGCACAAGUGGGUCAAAGCACCAAUAACCAUUCCAAAUAUAUGCAUACCAUUGCACUAUGCAUGUGGUUGCAAUGACUAAUUGCAAUAUGCAUAUAGACAAAUAACUGCAUGUUCAACAAUUUCUACGCAUUGUACUUGGUUGGUUACACGGUGUACAUUAUUUCAACCAGAUUAUACAUUCACUAAGUAUUUAUAUAGAUGCUACUUAAUGAAGUAAACUAUAGUGUAUGCAUAAAAUUUUAUUGACCGAUGUUACAAUGCUAAAAUUGUUCUUGUGGUUGGUUGGAUGUGAUUCCUAUGUCUUCUAUUAGUAACGAUGGUAAUAAACCAGCCAACACAUUAAAUGAAUCACUAUCAAUUAAACAUAGGCACACUACUAAGUCAUCUUGUAACCAUUUUUUUGCAUUGCAUAAGGCACACUAAACAAUAAGUACAUUUAGCCUAAUAUAUAUAAAUUAUUUCAAACACUCAUACCAAUUAAGUUUGAAAUAAUUCACUUCAAUUACUAGAUAGCUGAUAUAUGAAUAAGUACUAAUCUUAAAAAAUGAGGUACCACUCAUUAAUGUUUAAUAAUGUGUGCACUUUCCUCUCUUUUUUAGCCUCUAUUCCUUCUUUUUUUCGUCCAUUGUGAUUUCUCUAAGCAGAUUUAACAUUUUAAUGUAAAUGGUUAUUAAUUUACAAUCCAACAUUGAUGUAAAGGCACACUCACUAGAACAUCUUAUAAUCCAUCCUAAUCAUUCACUUUGUUUACUAUUACUCUUAAUGUACUUCUGUUUUACAUCGAUGUAAUCACCUAUAAACACCUAAUAAUUCUAUCUAGACCAUAAGAUGUCCCUAUUAACUCACACAAAGAAAAAUAUAACUUCAAAAAUUUCCUUUUUUUUAUCUGCCUAAAACCUUGACUACGUUGUUGAUCUAUUGUUGUUAUUGUAGUCAAUUACCCUUACUUAUCCCCUAAUAAUAGCUCUUUCUACUAAUUGGUUUGAAAGUUGUCCUUUUUUUUUUUUUGCAAACAUUUGGCGUGCAAAAUUUCUCUUUACUCUCCUUUCUUGUGUAAUCCAUCAAUUGAUUAAACUUCUACUAUUCAAAGGGUUUCCAUGGCGACUACAAGUAAAAUAGAUGGACGCCAUUUAUCAAAAAAUGGAAAUUAAGUCAUUGGUUUGCAACAUUGUUGCCUGAAGGGUUUAUGUGGAUGCAAUUGGGUGUUCUUGUUCAGAUCCCACCACCUUCUACUAUCAGAUCUCCAGAACCUUUUCCUUCAGCAAGUAGUUCUUCCUUCUUCUCAGUGUAAUGAUUGAUGGAUGAUAGUAUAUUUCCACGGCUCUUCUUUGGCACUCCUCAUCUGCAACUUUCUUGUUUUUGAAUGUUAUUUUACCCUAGUUCUAGAGUUAUGGAGGAAUAUUGACAAUUUUUGGAGGGAGAGUUUUAGGUUUCGAAUUUUAAUGAACAGUCAUGCCCAAUCAAUUUGGGCGGAAUUUUUUUGGAACGGAGUUUUGACAGUAGCGGAAUCUAAUAGGUUAAGGCAAGUUUUUUUUUUUAAUUUUUUCAUGCUCACUAAGUAAAACAGGAGCGCUUUUAUCCAUGUCAAUGUGGCUCUUUUAUAGCCUCUUAUUGAGGCUUGUGAGGGGACUGUUCAGGGACGGUCCUUCUGAUGACCGUCCCUGCCCCGUAUCCCCACUGAACCUCCUCUGUCCAAGUCAUUGCGCCUCUAAAUAGUAAAUAAACAAAGAUGGAAAAAUAGCCAUUUUCGUCCCUAAACUUUUUUUGUCCGUCAAUUUAGUCCCUAACUUUUAUUUUUAGCCAAUUUAAUACAUGAAUUUAAUUUUUGGAUCCAAUUAAGUCCUUCCGCCGCCACCUAAAAGUAAUUUAGCUCCUAAUUUAACAUUAAACAAGGGCAUUUUGGAAACUUUGAAUUAUUUCUUCUCCACUACCAGCCUCCACCACCAACCACCCGCCUCAUCCUUCAUGAUCGGCAAUUUUGGAUAUACCAGCAACACCAGUAAUCCAUCGGCGGAGGGAUUACUACGGCUCCGCGGCCUAAAAUUUGAAAGAUUGGAAAAGAAGCCAAUGUUUCCCAGCAAGAACAGAGCAAUAAAAACCACGCAUGUCAAAACCACAUAUCCACUCAUGGUUCGCCAAAUUGGCCGAGUCCGAGUUGACUCAGCCGAGUCAUAACCGGAACGGGCUCACCGGUAUGAUACCGACACCCGCAUCGCCGUUUCACCGGAAUCCGAGUUGACUCGGAUUGACUCGGUCGAUAUUUACCGAGUCAACUCAAAUCAAUAAGAAAUCAGUAAAACUUACCGAGUUUGACCGAGUCAACUCGCGAGUCAGACAACAAAAUCACCCACAUGAUUUCUUCUUUCUCCCACCGGUUGCCAUCCUCAUUCCAUCACUUCUGCCAGUGCAACCCAUCAUAAUUAGUUGAGGUUUCUUGAGGGUUGUGAUUGUAAGACUCGUAAUUUCGUUGGGAUUGAUCAUAAUCUUCAGAUUGGGAGUACAACAAGAAGAAUUGGAGCAAAUUUGGAAGUAAGAUGAAUCUGUAAAAAUUUUGUGGGAUUCGGGGUUUUGGAAAUUUUUGUAGGUGGUGGUAAACUGGUAAUGGUGGUGGAGCUUGAGAAGAGAGAGACAGAGAAGAAAUAAAGGGGGGGAGGCGGUGGAAAGAUGAAUCUGUAAAAAUUUUGUGGGAUUCGGGGUUUUGGAGAUUUUUGUGGGUGGUGGUAAACUAGUAAUGGUGGUCUUGAGAAGAGAGAGACAGAGAAAUAAAGUGGGGAAGGCGGUGGAAUGGAAACGUUUUCUAGGGAUUAUGGGAGGCAGUGUGGGUUGUGUAGGUGGGAAUGUGAGGGGAUAGAAUGGAGUGAGGAGAGAGAGAGAGAUAAACACCCAACAAAAAAAAAAGAAAAAGAAAAAAUUACAGCUAAAUUACAGCUCAAAGGCCACCAGAUUCUAUCUCACGUCCUUUCCAACUUUCUCUCUAACCCGAACAAACAUUUCUU